rnacentral:rRNA from 1 species
GACGAACGCUGGCGGCGUGCUUAGCACAUGCGAGUCGAACGGUGAAGCUCCAGCUUGCUGGAGUGGAUCAGUGGCGAACGGGUGAGUAACACGUGAGCAACCUGCCCCUGACUCUGGAAUAAGCGCUGGAAACGGCGUCUAAUACUGGAUACGAGAAGGGUCCGCAUGGGCACUUUCUGGAAAGUUUUUCGGUUGGGGAUGGGCUCGCGGCCUAUCAGCUUGUUGGUGAGGUAAUGGCUCACCAAGGCGACGACGGGUAGCCGGCCUGAGAGGGCGACCGGCCACACUGGGACUGAGACACGGCCCAGACUCCUACGGGAGGCAGCAGUGGGGAAUAUUGCACAAUGGGCGAAAGCCUGAUGCAGCGACGCCGCGUGAGGGAUGACGGCCUUCGGGUUGUAAACCUCUUUCAGCAGGGAAGAAGCGAAAGUGACGGUACCUGCAGAAGAAGCACCGGCUAACUACGUG